rfam:Triticum aestivum genome assembly, contig: Triticum_aestivum_CS42_TGACv1_scaffold_423182_5BS
CACAUAUUCUCUCCGUCCGAAAAUAAUUGUCGGAGUAAUGGAUGUAUCUAGUUGUAUUUUAGUUUUAGAUGCAUCCAUUUUUACCCAUUUUCGCGACAAGUAUUUCUGGACGGAGGGAGUACUUU